CAUCGGGUGCGAUCAUUAAGUCAUAACAACUUUUGGCAACAGAUAUUUCGUUUCUUGGAUCGAUGAAGAAAGUAGCGAAAUGCGAUACAUGGUGUGAAUUGCAGGAUCCCGUGAACCAUUGAGUUUUUGAAUGCAAGUUACACCCAAAGCCUUUAGGCCAAGGGCACGUUUGCGUGGGCAUCG
rnacentral:rRNA from 1 species